rnacentral:lncRNA from 1 species
GGUGUAUAAAAAAAGACAUAAAAUUAUGAUUAAUUUAAACGAGACACUGCUGUUAUACUGCAUGAAAAACGUGAAUAUAAAUUCAUAGUCAGCAGCAGAACUGAAGGGGUUAAAAAAACUGAACAACAAGCCCCAUGAACCUUCGCGCAUCCACGUGACUCAUGACUUCCGGCUGCGGCUGGCUGUGUGUUGUUAGCCGUAGCGAGUGUCGGUUGCCAGGGUGAGGAUGGAUCACACCUCUUUAAAAAAGAGAUAAACUUACGUGGUAUCUCUCUUAAACACGUCUGUCAUAUCUACACACAGGCAACGACUAUAAGGGAGGAGUGCCAUCACAGCGGUGCCAACAGUGGGAUGGAGUGGCAUUCACUGCUUCACUUCUCUUAAGCUCAUCUACAGGACAGAUAUGAUCAGGUGAUCUGAGAGGAGAGACGUCCGUCUGUCAGUACUGU